ACUUCGAAUUGGUUCCCUCAAGCAUGGCUUCCGAAGCUAACCCUUAAUUCGCCCUCCCCGGGAGUAAGGCCGCAAGGUUAAAACUCAAAUGAAUUACCGGGGGCCGCCCCAAGCGGUGGAGCAUGUGGUUUAUUUUGAUUCAUCGCGAAGAACCUCACAUACUCAUUACAUCCAAAGAACUUUGCAGAGAGGGGUUGGUGCCUUCGGGAACUCUGAGACAGGUGCUGCAUGGCUGUCGUCAGCUCGUGUUGUGAAAUGUUGGGUUAAGUCCCGCAACGAGCGCAACCCUUAUCCUUUGUUGCCAGCGGUUCGGCCGGGAACUCAAAGGAGACUGCCAGUGAUAAACUGGAGGAAGGUGGGGAUGACGUCAAGUCAUCAUGGCCCUUACGAGUAGGGCUACACACGUGCUACAAUGGCGCAUACAAAGAGAAGCGACCUCGCGAGAGCAAGCGGACCUCAUAAAAUGCGUCGUAGUCCGGAUUGGAGUCUGCAACUCGACUCCAUGAAGUCGGAAUCGCUAGUAAUCGUAGAUCAGAAUGCUACGGUGAAUACGUUCCCGGGCCUUGUUCACACCCCCCCUCACAGCAUGGGAGUGGGUUGC
rnacentral:rRNA from 1 species